CGACCGGCGCACGGGUGAGUAACACGUAUGCAACCUGGCCGUGACAGAUGGAUAACCGGGAGAAAUCCCGCCUAAUACAGCAUGACGCCGGGAAGGGACAUCCCUUUCCGGCCAAAGGGGCGACUCCGGUCACGGAUGGGCAUGCGGCGCAUUAGGUAGUUGGUGGGGCAACGGCCCACCAAGCCGACGAUGCGUAGGGGUUCUGAGAGGAAGGUCCCCCACACUGGUACUGAGACACGGACCAGACUCCUACGGGAGGCAGCAG
rnacentral:rRNA from 1 species